UACGUAGGUCCCGAGCGUUGUCCGGAUUUAUUGGGCGUAAAGCGAGCGCAGGUGGUUUAUUAAGUCUGGUGUAAAAGGCAGUGGCUCAACCAUUGUAUGCAUUGGAAACUGGUAGACUUGAGUGCAGGAGAGGAGAGUGGAAUUCCAUGUGUAGCGGUGAAAUGCGUAGAUAUAUGGAGGAAGACCGGUGGCGAAAGCGGCUCUCUGGCCUGUAACUGACACUGAGGCUCGAAAGCGUGGGGAGCAAACAGG
rnacentral:rRNA from 1 species